UCCGUACAGUCAUUUAGAGAAAGGGAGAUUUGAAACCAUCUACAGUAUCCUGUGGCUGAGUGGCCAGGACCAGGUCAUUUAACCAGGACCAGGUCAUUUAACCAGGACCAGGUCAUUUAACCAGGACCAGGUCAUUUAACCAGGACCAGGUCAUUUAACCAGGACCAGGUCAUUUAACCAGGACCAGGUAAUUUAACCAGGGCCAGGUCAUUUAACCAGGACCAGGUCAUUUAACCAGGGCCAGGUCAUUUAACCAGGACCAGGUCAUUUAACCAGGACCAGGUCAUUUAACCAGGGCCAGGUCAUUUAACCAGGACCAGGUCAUUUAACCAGGACCAGGUCAUUUAACCAGGGCCAGGUCAUUUAACCAGGACCAGGUCAUUUAACCAGGACCAGGUCAUUUAACCAGGACCAGGUCAUUUAACCAGGACCAGGUCAUUUAACCAGAGCCAGGACCAGGUCAUUUAACCAGGGCCAGAUCAUUUAACCAGGGCCAGGUCAUUUAACCAGGACCAGGUCAUUUAACCAGGACCAGAUCAUUUAACCAGGACCAGGUAAUUUAACCAGGGCCAGAUCAUUUAACCAGGGCCAGGUCAUUUAACCAGGACCAGAUCAUUUAACCAGGACCAGGUCAUUUAACCAGGGCCAGAUCAUUUAACCAGGACCAGGUCAUUUAACCAGGGCCAGGUCAUUUAACCAGGGCCAGGUCAUUUAACCAGGACCAGGUCAUUUAACCAGGGCCAGGCCAUUUAACCAGGACCAGGUCAUUUAACCAGGGCCAGGUCAUUUAACCAGGGCCAGGUCAUUUAACCAGGACCAGGUCAUUUAACCAGGGCCAGAUCAUUUAACCAGGGCCAGGUCAUUUAACCAGGGCCAGGUCAUUUAACCAGGACCAGGUCAUUUAACCAGGGCCAGGUCAUUUAACCAGGGCCAGGUCAUUUAACCAGGGCCAGGUCAUUUAACCAGGGCCAGGACCAGGUCAUUUAACCAGAGCCAGGUCAUUUAACCAGGACCAGGUCAUUUAACCAGAGCCAAGACCAGGUCAUUUAACCAGAGCAAGAUCAUUUAACCAGGACUAGGUCAUUUAACCAGGGCCAGGUCAUUUAACCAGGGCCAGGACCAGGUCAUUUAACCAGGGCCAGGUCAUUUAACCAGGACCAGGUCAUUUAACCAGGACCAGGUCAUUUAACCAGGACCAGGUCAUUUAACCAGGGCCAGGUCAUUUAACCAGGGCCAGGUCAUUUUACCAGAGCCAGGACCAGGUCAUUUUACCAGGGCCAGGUCAUUUAACCAGAGCCAGGACCAGGUCAUUUUACCAGGGCCAGGUCAUUUAACCAGGGCCAGGUCAUUUAACCAGAGCCAGGACCAGGUCAUUUAACCAGGGCCAGGUCAUUUAACCAGAGCCAGGACCAGGUCAUUUAACCAGGGCCAGGUCAUUUAACCAGAGCCAGGACCAGGUCAUUUAACCAGGGCCAGGUCAUUUAACCAGAGCCAGGACCAGGUCAUUUAACCAGGGCCAGCAAUGACUAAGUCAGAUAUAUGGAUAAGUUAACCCUCUCUCUUUCAGCAGGCCAUGUACUGUAUGCAUGUGUCAUUUAGAGUAGUGAAGUUGCCCUAGAUGCUGGUCUGGGGUCUGUUUUGUGUUUUUAACCUCUAAUGGUUAAG